UUUAAUCGCAAAAACGAUCAAAUUAUCGGUUUAUGAGUUGGUCUGAUCUAGUUCUAAUAACAAUAGGCGAAAAAUAUACAGUUUUAAUAACUAUGUGUGAAUUAGAAAACCAUUGAACUAUAUAUUUAUUUCAAAACAAUAUUAAAUAGUAUCAUAAAAAAAUAAAAUCAAAUACACGAGUAGUUAAGAAAUAAAUUCCCCCAGACACAAUGGAAAAGAAGUCGCAUCAGUGUGGCAUGAUGGACAGACAUCAAACCCAGAAAAAACCCAGAGUCCUCUGCCUCCACGGGUUCAGGACCAGCGGUGAAAUCCUCAACAAACUUGUUUCACGAUGGCCCCAAUCUGUAACACAAAAGCUGGACCUCGUUUUCCUCGAUGCAAAGUUCCCAGCACAAGGAAAAUCAGAUGUUGAAACCAUUUUUGAUCCUCCUUACUUUGAAUGGUUCCAAGCCAACCAGGAUUUUUCGGAGUACAUGAACUUCGAAGAAUGCUUAGCAUACGUUGAAGAUUUCAUGGUGGAAAAUGGUCCUUUUGAUGGCUUACUUGGAUUCUCUCAGGGCGCCAUUUUGGCGGCAGCAUUGCCUGGAAUGCAGGCUCAGGGUAUAGCACUUGGGAAGGUAAAGAACAAGAUCAAGUUCUUGAUUUUGAUAUCAGGAGCCAAGUUUGGUGGAAACAAGUUUGGAGCUCCUAAACUAGCUUCUAAUGCAUUCUCAAAACCAAUUGAUAUACCCUCUAUCCACUUUAUAGACAAACAAUGAUAAUUGUAAACAAUGAUGUGUGGUGAAGGGGAAACGGAUUUCAUGAAGCAGGAGAGCACUGAAUUGGGGGAGGCAUUCUUGGAUCCUGUUGUGAUUCAUCAUCCAAGAGGCCACACUGUUCCCAGACUUGAUGAUAAGAGUGUUGAAACUGUGCUCGGUUUCAUUGAGAAGAUUAAUUAAGCAAGCAAGAGACUGUUAUGAUGAUGAUGUGAGAUGCAUUUUUAUCAUCAUCAUGCCAAGACUUUGUCUAGCAGCCCAAAAUGGAAUAAAAAUAAAACAUCAAGGCUAAUGGGCUGGUUAGUCAAGUGGAGCCCAAAAGAAACAAAGCCAAAGAAACCAACGGGCUGAAUAUGAAGAAAGCAAACCCAAGCCCGAAAUGCUUACCCAAGUUGAUCCCACCAAGCUUCUCAUACAAGAUUGAAGUCUUCACUCUCUCUUAUUGUUUCGGUCAGCAACAAAAUAUUAGAAAGAGAGCUGUGUUCCUCCUGCUACUUUUAUCAGAGAAGAAAGAAAAAGAAAGCUUAAUCAUAAAGCAAAGAUCUAAUCACCCAUCAAAGUGAGUUAGAAAUUAAAAGGUGAUUUAUUUCCAUUUGCAUGCAACUUACUUUCUUCACUUCAUCUCAAAUCUUCUGGCUUACCAUUUUUGGAUAAAUGGAAAAAGUGUUCUCUGAUCUUCAUUGCUAUGCAUCUACGGUCAUAUAUGUGUCUUGGGGACCAAGUUGUUUUUCAAUGGCCAAGAUCUGGGAUUACCAUUGAAAAUGGUUGUUUAUACUGCUCAAAUGUCUUUGGUCAAGCAAAAAGGAGACAGCUUGGAAAUCCCUAAUUUGGGACAAAUGAAGAAAGCAAUCUCUGUUCACCACUACUGUACAUCAAUGGUCAAGAUUGUUUCUUGGGGACCAAGAAGUAUUUCAAGGGUUCAGAUUAGGCUUCACUAUUGAAAAUAAUUUUCUUUGCUUCCCUGAGGCUUUCGGUCAUGAAAGAAGGUCAGACUCAAACUUCUAAUUUGGGAAUUAACUGAAAAAAAAGGUGAUGUGGUGUGUGAGAAAAGCACACAGAUCAAGGUGUUGACCUUGGAAGAAGAACCAAGCAACAUGCAAGGAGAUAAAAAGAAGCUUGCUGUUCAUUCAGGCGUAAGGAGAGAAAACCAGAGUUUGAAAGUUUUGUUCUGAGAAGAGCUCUUUGAAGAAGUUCAACUAACUGGACAGUGUAACCUAAUCAAAGGUGCAUUCCGCCAGUAUGAAGAACUGAAUCAGAGGCUUGCUAAUAUGGUUUUUCGCAUAGCACAGAGGCUGUUGAUGAAGUCAAUCUCCUUCAUGUUUUACUGAUUGUAAUGUAUUUUUCUAAGCUUAUCUUUCUGUAAUUUCUUGAGAGAAAAGGCAAAGUGAGAAAGCUUAAGAAAAAGCCAUGAGUGAAAAAAGGCUGAGAGAUACACUUGAGAGAAAAGCCUAGAGUUAUUUUCAGAUUUCUUUAGGUUGAUUAAGUGUUUUGUAUCUUGUACCAGUUUGGUAUCCCUUUCUUAGUUGGGAUAGCACUAAGAGUGAAUAGUUGAGUGUUAGCAUAGCCAAUGUCAAGUUAGGUUAGAACUUGAGUGUGAAAUUGGUGUAUGUAAUACUGUUAACUAUAGUGAAAUUCUUCCAUAGUUGUGGAGGAGACUGGAUGUAGGUUGCAUAGCACAAAGCAACCGAACCAGGAUAUAUGCUGGUGUUAGCUUUUUCUUCUCUGUCAUGUUCUGUUUUCUGAUAUUCAUGAGACAAAAAUAAAUUGUCUCAUAAAUUUCCGCUGCUGAGUUCAAACAGAAUUAGAUUUGUAACUU